GACGAACGCUGGCGGCGUGCCUAACACAUGCAAGUCGAACGGAAAGGCCCUGCACUUGUGGGAUGCUCGAGAGGCGAAAGCGGGAGUAACACGUGAGUAAACUGCCCUUUACAUCGGGAUAAAUUCAGGGAACACGGGCGAAUACAGGACAGGAACUCCUGCAGCACGAGGGGGGAUGGAGAGAUACGGAGGUUGGGGACGGAAUGGCGGCUUAUCCGCUUGUUGGUGGGGUAGUGGAUUAACGGGGCAUUGACGGGUAGCCGGCCUGAGAGUGUGACCGGCCACAUUGGGACUGAGGUGCGGGCCAUACUGCUACGUGGGGCAUCAGUGGGGGACAUUGCACGAUGGGCGGAAGCCUUAUGCAGCAACUCCGCGUGCGGGAUGACUGCCUUCGGGUUGUAAACCGCGUGCGCCUGGGACGAAGCGUGAGUGACGGUAAUUGGUAAAGAAGCACCGGCUAACUACGUG
rnacentral:rRNA from 1 species